rnacentral:rRNA from 1 species
AUACGUAGGGUGCGAGCGUUGUCCGGAAUUACUGGGCGUAAAGAGCUCGUAGGUGGUUUGUCGCGUCGUCUGUGAAAUUCCGGGCUUAACUCCGGGCGUGCAGUCGAUACGGGCAUAACUUGAGUACUGUAGGGGAGACUGGAAUUCCUGGUGUAGCGGUGAAAUGCGCAGAUAUCAGGAAGAACACCGGUGGCGAAGGCGGGUCUCUGGGAAGAAACUGACGGUGAGGAGCGAAAGCAUGGGUAGCGAACAGGAUUAGAUUCCCUGGGUGGCCAUGCCGUAAACGGUGGGCGAUAGGUGUAGGGGUCUUCCACGACUUCUGUGCCGUAGCUAACGCAUUAAGCGCCCCGCCUGGGGAGUACGGCCGCAAGGCUAAAACUCAAAUGAAUUGACGGGG